AGAAAGACAAACUCUGGGUUUCUGUGUGUAACGUUUGGCUGUCCGUUUUAUAUGAAUUUUUUUUAUAAUCAGUAUUUUUAUUAUUGUUUUACGAUAAAACAUGAUUAAUGCUUUAUGCGUGAUUUCUCUUUUUAAUUUUUUAUAAUUUUUUUAAAUAAAACGGACGGUCAAACGUUAGAUAUGGAAACUAAG
rfam:Oryza sativa Indica Group scaffold002357 genomic scaffold, whole genome shotgun sequence.